AUUGAACGCUGGCGGCAGGCCUAACACAUGCAAGUCGAACGAGAUCUUCGGAUCUAGUGGCGCACGGGUGCGUAACGCGUGGGAAUCUGCCCUUGGGUUCGGAAUAACUUCUGGAAACGGAAGCUAAUACCGGAUGAUGACGUAAGUCCAAAGAUUUAUCGCCCAAGGAUGAGCCCGCGUAGGAUUAGCUAGUUGGUGAGGUAAAGGCUCACCAAGGCGACGAUCCUUAGCUGGUCUGAGAGGAUGAUCAGCCACACUGGGACUGAGACACGGCCCAGACUCCUACGGGAGGCAGCAGUAGGGAAUAUUGGACAAUGGGCGAAAGCCUGAUCCAGCAAUGCCGCGUGAGUGAUGAAGGCCUUAGGGUUGUAAAGCUCUUUUACCCGGGAUGAUAGUGACAGUACCGGGAGAAUAAGCUCCGGCUAACUCCGUGCCAGCCGCCGCGGUAAAAC
rnacentral:rRNA from 1 species